GGUUCAUAAUGCAAUUCCAGCAUUUGAGGAAUAAAGUACUAAUUCCAUAAACUUUUUACGGGAUGAAAUCAACCACGACCUCAAGUACCCCCUAACAGUCCAGGAUCUAUGGAUUACCCUGUUGUCUAAAGUGUUUUUUUUUUUUCUCCUAAAAACACUUUAGACACAACUGGGUAAUCCCUAAAUCCUGGACUGUUAGGGGGUUCUUCAGGACUGGUUUGGG